UUAUUUUCGAAAUAUCAUCUCGUGAUCGCUGAAGUUGUGAUAGUAUCCUACUAUAUAUAAUUUUUUUGUCUUAAGUGCUUAACAUUUGAAGAUUUAAGGAAAUGGACAUUGUAGAGUUUUGCCGUUUAACCAGAGGCAAAGAUUUAGGGUUUGGAUUUGAGCGUUUUGCUUACUUUUAGACUCUUUAUCUUAAGGUGGUGGUUUUUUAACUCUCUUUGUUGAAUCAUCAAAUUGCACAUGAAAGAAAAAAAAUAUAAGUACAAAAAGAAGUAAAGUGAAAAUAUGAGAAGUGUGAUAUUUUUAUAUUGCGGAGAAGUGUGUUUUCUUUUUGGAGACACUUUUGGGAUGCACCUUAUAAAAAUUAGUCUUUGUGGAAAAUUUAUUUUUCACCAUUUCUUAUAUAUUUACUUUCAUGAAAUAAGAUAGCUUCAAGUGUGCUAAUUUUUUUUUUUUAAAAAAAAAAAGAAACUAGCAAUGAGGGAUGUACCCUAGAGCUUGGAUAAGGUGCCUAAAUAUUCGCUCUUAAAACAUAUCUAUGAAAAAAUAUGUGGGAAUAUUUUACGUUGACAGUAAGGAUGGUAAUCUUUUAUAGUAGGUAUCCACUAAGGAAUGUGUACAAACUCACCUGCUUAGUAAUUAUUCUUCUUAUUACGGAUAUAGCGUUACAGUGAAUUACCGAUACCGAGCCAUAAAAGGAUAUUUUGUAAAAUCUUUUUAUGUGUAGAAAAUCGUGGGAUAUGUGCAGAAGCGUUAGACGUGAGUUGGCGUGGAACAUUUUCCUAGUG
rnacentral:rRNA from 1 species